GCAGUCGAACGGUAGGUUUCUUUUCGGAGAGACUGAGAGUGGCGCACGGGUGCGUAACGCGUAUGCAACCUGCCUUCCACAGGGGGAUAGCCCGGGGAAACCCGGAUUAAUACCCCAUGGCACAGCGAGAUGGCAUCAUCAUGCUGUUAAAGAUUCAUCGGUGGAAGAUGGGCAUGCGUAGGAUUAGCUAGUUGGUGCGGUAACGGCGUACCAAGGCGACGAUCCUUAGGGGUUCUGAGAGGAAGGUCCCCCACACUGGCACUGAGAUACGGGCCAGACUCCUACGGGAGGCAGCAGUAGGGAAUAUUGGUCAAUGGGCGGGAGCCUGAACCAGCCAUGCCGCGUGCAGGAAGACGGCGUUCUGCGUUGUAAACUGCUUUUAUACGGGAAGAAAAGGCCCAUGCGUGGGACAUUGCCGGUACCGUAUGAAUAAGCACCGGCUAACUCCGUGCCAGCAGCCGCGGUAAUACGGAGGGUGCAAGCGUUGUCCGGAUUUAUUGGGUUUAAAGGGUGCGUAGGCGGCCCUAUAAGUCAGCGGUGAAAGUUUCCGGCUCAACCGGGAAAUUGCCGUUGAUACUGUAGGGCUUGAGUGCCGAUGGGGUACAUGGAAUUUAUGGUGUAGCGGUGAAAUGCAUAGAUACCAUAAGGAACACCGAUAGCG
rnacentral:rRNA from 1 species